UUAGAGUUUGAUCCUGGCUCAGGACGAACGCUGGCGGCGCGCCUAACACAUGCAAGUCGAGCGGAGUCCUUCGGGACUUAGCGGCGGACGGGUGAGUAACGCGUGAGCAACCUGGCCUUCAGAGGGGGAUAACGUCUGGAAACGGACGCUAAUACCGCAUGACAUGGCGGAGUCGCAUGGCUCUGCCAUCAAAGGAGUAAUCCGCUGAGGGAUGGGCUCGCGUCCGAUUAGGUAGUUGGUGAGGUAACGGCUCACCAAGCCCGCGAUCGGUAGCCGGGCUGAGAGGUUGGCCGGCCACAUUGGGACUGAGACACGGCCCAGACUCCUACGGGAGGCAGCAGUGGGGGAUAUUGCACAAUGGAGGAAACUCUGAUGCAGCGACGCCGCGUGAGGGAAGAAGGUCUUCGGAUUGUAAACCUCUGUCUUUGGGGACGAAUCAAUGACGGUACCCAAGGAGGAAGCCACGGCUAACUACGUGCCAGCAGCCGCGGUAAUACGUAGGUGGCAAGCGUUGUCCGGAAUUACUGGGUGUAAAGGGUGCGCAGGCGGGGCGGCAAGUUGGAUGUGAAAACUCCGGGCUCAACCCCGGAGCCUGCAUUCAAAACUUGUCGCUCUUUGAAGUGAAAUAAAAGCAGGCGGAAUUCCCGGUGUAGCGGUGAAAAUGCGUAAAAUAUCGGGAGGAACACCAAUGGCGAAAGCGGCCUGCUGGGCUUUUACUGACGCUGAGGCACGAAAGCAUGGGUAGCAAACAGGAUUAGAUACCCUGGUAGUCCAUGCCGUAACCGAUUAUUUGUUAGGUUGUGGGGGGUUUUGACCCCCUUCCCGUGCCGGAAGUUAACCACAAUUAAGCAAUCCACCUUGGGAAGUACGGCCCGCAAGGUUGAAACUCAAAGGAAUUGACGGGGGCCCGCACAAGCAGUGAAGUAUGUGGUUUAAUUCGAAGCAACGCGAAGACCCUUACCAGGUCUUGACAUCCACCGAAUCCCCCAGAGAUGGGGGAGUGCCCUUCGGGGAGCGGUGAGACGGGUGGUGCAUGGUUGUCGUCAGCUCGUGUCGUGAGAUGUUGGGUUAAGUCCCGCAACGAGCGCAACCCUUGUGAAUAGUUGCUACGAAAGAGCACUCUAUUCAGACCGCCGUUGACAAAACGGAGGAAGGUGGGGAUGACGUCAAAUCAUCAUGCCCCUUAUGACCUGGGCUACACACGUACUACAAUGGCCAUCAACAGAGGGAAGCAAGGCCGCGAGGUGGAGCGAACCCCUAAAAAUGGUCUCAGUUCAGAUUGCAGGCUGAAACCCGCCUGCAUGAAGAUGGAAUUGCUAGUAAUCGCGGAUCAGCAUGCCGCGGUGAAUACGUUCCCGGGCCUUGUACACACCGCCCGUCACACCAUGAGAGCCGGGGACACCCGAAGUCGGUUGGGUAACCGUAAGGAGCCCGCCGCCGAAGGUGGAAUCGGUAAUUGGGGUGAAGUCGUAACAAGGUAGCCGUAUCGGAAGGUGCGGCUGGAUCACCUCCU
rnacentral:rRNA from 1 species